AUCUAGAUGAUGAGUCUCCAAUAGGACGAAACGCGCGUCCUGGAU
rnacentral:hammerhead_ribozyme from 1 species